GCGAGCGUAGUUCAACGGCAGAACGACAGCCUUCCAAGCUGACGAUGCGGGUUCGAUUCCCGCAGCUCGCU
rnacentral:tRNA from 1 species